rnacentral:lncRNA from 1 species
AGGGUUAACAAAUAUUUUCAUUCCUCUAUUAUUCCUACCACAAGAAAAAGUUGUCAUUAUCGUCAUUACCAACGAUCUCUGGUCCGUUGGUGAAUCUGAUUUACCAAAAAAGUUAUUGACAUAAUGUGGAAUAGUAACAUAUCGACGGUUUAUGAUCAUCGGCAAUGAGAUAGGUUAUUUGUUGUCAGUAAUAGUAUUGGUUAUUUAUCAGUAGAUAUAGUCAUCGGUAAUACCGUUGGUAAAGGACACGAUUCAUUAUCGAUCAAAGGGCUUUCACCGUGGGUAAAUGGGUUGACUAUAAGAAAUCAGAAAUUGGGAUUACCCUCUCCCAAUUUCAUUUUGCGAGAAACCCUUCUUCCCUGCUUUGAAACCCUUAUUCUUACCCUUUUUCUGGUUAAGAAUGUUGUAGCCAAUACCGAAGCAUGUUUUCGAUUCGCUCUACCUCAAUUGUGGUUCACAACCUUCAACAUUUGUUGCCUUUCACUGUCGUUGUGGUGUUGGUGAAUGUACAUUGCGCUUGACUCGUCGAACCUCCCCUGUAGUGCUGUUUGAGUUUUCUUCCACCAAUAGUGUGUUGAUGUUUCCGUGAGGAGGGUGGUCCAUUGACGUGAGGGAGUGUUGAAGUUGCUGUGAGGAGGGUGCUCUCGUGACAUGAGGGUGUCUAUCUUCUUCAAGGGAGGCUAUUAGGAGACCGUUGUGACGAGGUAAGUUCUUUGUGUGUGAAGGAAGUAGGUGCUGAUGAGGCUAAUAUAUUGAAUAAACCUAAAUACACUUUCAUUCAAUGUGCUAGGGUGAGCUUGAGAAGGAGUUCAAAUUGUGGCCAAAAGGGGGGGAAGAGAGUCUAGGGAGCAGACGUGACCAGGAAAGGAAAGGAAAGGCGAAGUGAUAACUGUUUAAAACACCGUUAUAUGUGAUGUAAUUUUGAUACUAAAAGCACCAUUUUCUGCUUAGAAUCUUGCUUGAACUCAUGUUUUUGCUUUAGUUUUAUGAAUAAGAGAGUUGAGGUGGAACUUAAUGAUUUUUUUACUAAUUCCCUUAAUUUUGUAGGCUAUUGGAAUGAAUUGAAGGAAGAAUUAAAGUGCCAAAUAGUUGCAGUCCUGAAAAGUCAAAGUUGAAUGCAUAAAAGUCAACCAGUCAACCAGAAAAGUCAAUCAGUCAACCAGAGUACAGAAAAAGUCAAUCGACGUUGGCCGCCCAGGCGGCCAAAAUGAUCGCCCAGGUGGCGGGGCUCGAAGCUUGGGCGUCCAAUUGAACGCCCGAGCCUUACAUGAGGUCCUUCCUCCGCCCGGGCGACCUCCUAGACCGCCUGGGCGUCGAGUUUUGCUGAUUCGGCCUUGUUUCUACUCUGUUUUGAUUCUUUUGGAUCGGGCCUUGCUUUGGCAUGCCUCUAACACUAUUUAAAGGACCUUGGGGCUCUAGGUUUUUCAUCCCUGGUAGAGAAGAGCAUAGCAAUACACUCUUAGCCUAUUCUUAAUCUUCCAUUCUCUUUCUUUCUUCCAUUGUUCAUAGAGUUCCCCCAUGUCUAUGGGGAACUAAUUUCUAUUUGUUGUUGGGGAAUGAUGUAACCUUGUGAACCCUCAUGUAUUUGAAUUUAUUCUUAAUUCCAUAUGUUUUUUCAUUAAUUGUUAGAGUAAUUCGUCUGUUUCUAUUCUUGCUUAUACAAUAGCAUUAUUUAUGAAUUGCAUGAGUGUUAGGAGGUUCCUUUCAAUUCAGGUUGUUGUUGAAUUACUCCUAAGGGUUAUAUUUCUCAAGGAUGAGGGUAUGAGUCUUAGUCAGCUUAACCUCUUGAUUUUCACAUCUUUUUACCAGGAAUGCUAGGAAUUGUAUGAACUGGUAAUUAGGGACGGACUUAUUUACCGAGGGAUCGGGUUUAAGUGAUUUAGUGAGGGACGUUGACAUUAAUGCAUAAAGAAGAAUUCGUAUAUACAUGAGAGGGAACUUGGUGAAAUCUAACCCCAACAGCAUAUCCAUCUCAUAUAAAUCAACCUUCGUUCAUCUCUGUGCUCUUUUGCCAUUGAUCAAUUGCAUCUUUAUUUUAUUUUAUUAUUUUGUGUCAAACCCAAUGAUCUCUUUUUAUUUUUAAGUCUUAAUUAAUCUUGUUUUCACACAACUGUUCAGCGUCGAGAGUCCUCUGGGAUACGAUACUUGGUCUUACCAAUUUAUAUUACUUGUGCGACUCAGUACACUUAUUGAUUUGCUCCCAAUAAGUUUUUGGCACCGUUGUCGGGGACUCACGGUUUAAGCUAUUCUAUUUAUGUGAUCCUUGAUUAAUUUUGACUUUAUUUUCUUAAUUUUAUUUUCCCUAUUUUUUUAUUUUUAUUUUUCAAUCCCUAAUUUUUAUUCUUUUUAUUUUUUUAUAUACUAACAAUCUCUCUUUAGAAUUCUUGUGCAGGAACUUGAAGGAGGCCUAAAAGAGAUAGACUAUCUAGAGAACCUUUUCUAGAGGAAAUUUCACAGGCCUCACAAUAUGAUCUAACAAGAAUGUAGUUCUAUCAAGGUAAUUUCAACUACUGGUGGGAACCUCACUCAAGCACAAAUCAAAUUCAAUAUGAGCAAGUUGGUAGACUAUUCACUGGACCACCACAAUCAAACAGUGCUUCAAAGCUUGAGGAGACCAUCCAAUGGCUCAUGCAGGAAACUCUCUCAAUUCAACAAAGCACUCAAGCAGCAUCCGAAAGGAUGGAAGUGCUGUGUAGAUUCAUAAUUCAGAAGCUGAAUGAUCUUGG